ensembl:lncRNA
CCUUGGGUCACUGCUGUGGUACAGGUUUGAUCCCUGGCCUGGGAACUUCUAUAUACUGUGAGCAUGGCCAAAAAAAAAAAAAAAAGGCUUUCUCUUCUGAAUGGACCACCUGAGCGCAGUGGGUGAGAGAUGGGGGCGGAACUCUCAGGGCGGGGCCGCUGUUUCUCUGCAUCCAGGCUGUUUCUUGCCAGGACCGUGCUCACGCCUGCUCUGCUGUGCUGGAUGGAGCUUGUGGGGGACAAGCCGGGAGCUGUGGCUCCACCUUGAGCUGCAUCAGCAUCUUGCCCACCCCGUCUCCCCCUGGGGUGUCAGCGUGAGGCCUGUGUUAGGCAGGGGUCUCCAGGGAGACAGGACAGAACCAAUAGGAGUCUAUAUAUACAUACCGGUGUUCAUGCUGUAAUGCAAUAUAUGUAAAAUGUAAUAGGAUAUAUACUACAGUAUAACAUACACGAGAGAGAAGGAUUUAUUUUAAGGAAUCAGCUUGUGCAUUUGUGGGGCUGAGUCCACAGUCUGCAGGGCAGGCCAGCAGGCUGGAGCCCCAGGAAGAGCCGCUGUUGCAGCCUGAAUCUGCAAUCUGUCUGGGAUCAGAAUUCCCUCUUAAUCUGGGAGCCUCAGCCUUCAUGCUUCAGCCCUUCAACUGAUUGGGUGAGGCCCACCACACCAUGGAGGACCGUCUGCUUUACUCAGUCUACUGAUUUCAGCAUUAACCUCAUCUUAAAGACACCUGCACAGCAACAUCCAGACUGGUGUUUGACCAGAUAACUGGGUGGACACAGACAUUAACCUUCACAAGGCCUCACCUGAGCCAGAUUCCAAGGGGUCAUCUCCACAGCAGAGGCUGACCCCUGGCAACUUGAACACUGGUAGCCCACGCCCAGGCAGUGGUCCUCGGGCCUGAAGAUCUUGUGAGCUGGCGACGAGCCUGGGGCUCUGAUGGGUGGAACUGCCAUCCACUGGAAGAGGCAGGUGCCGCCCACUCCCCAGGCUGAGGAAGGGGGCGAGGAGCUGUCUGUGCCGGGGUCCGCCAAGCCCCCCCCCGCCCCAGGAACUCCACGUGGGCUUCCUAGAAGCUGCCGCUGAUCUGGACCCAGUGCGGCUGGGAUGGGUGGCUGGUGAGGAAACACAGCCCGAGAGAGGGGGUCCUUCGUCCUUGCCAUCGGGGUACCAGGCUGUGGAUGGGGCUGCAGUAGGUUAAAGGGGCCUCAGGUUCUCUGCUGCCCCUCUUGCCAGGAGGGAGAGGGAUCCCCUGCCUUUGAGUCUGUGACCUCUGACCUCGCUUGUCGGAAGGGAUGCAGCAGAAGUGUCACGUGUCUGUUCCCAGGGAGACCCGGGAGCAGCCUUACAGUUGAGCUCCUGGACCCCAGACCCAGGGUAAGGCUGGGCUGGCCUGCUAGAGAGAGGCCACGUGGGGCGGGGGCCCUGGCGGGUGAGUCCCCUGUGGGGAGGGCGUGACAACUGAGGCGCUCUGGCAGAAGUCAGCCCCCAGCCCCCAGAAGGACGCGAUCCCCCGCGAAACAGCAAGGGCCCCCAUCAGACUACAGCCAGGCGCCUGCCAUGUCCUGGAGCGGUUUGUUACACAGCAGUAAUUGAAGCACGUACACAGGACAACAUGGCCAGUGGCAAGAUUAAAGAAAUGUGUUCCUGGGAACAUUCUGCCCUCAAAAGGGGAAUAAAGACUUGAUAAAAGAAAAGGACCCUCCCAUGACUUGCUUUUUUUUUUUUUAAAUACAGUUUUGAAAGUUUAUGCUCCCUUUACAGUUAUUACGAGGUAUUGGCUCUAGUCCCUGUGUUGUACAAUACGUCUGAUAACUUUUAUUUCCUGCUCCCCCACCUCGAUAUGGGACCCUCCCACUGGUAACCACUAAUUUGUUUUCUGUAUCUGUGAAUGUGCCUCUUUUUUUCACUGGUUUGAUCUGUUUUUUAGAUUCCACAUGUAAGUGAUGUCAUACAGUAUUUGUCUUUCUCUGUCUGACUUAUUUCACUUGGUAUAAGGCCCUCCACAUCCAUCCAGGUUGCUGCAAAUGGCAUGACUUAAUUCUUUUUAAUGGCUGUAUAGUAUUCCAUGGUAUCUACACACCCUAUCUUCCUUAUCCAUUCAUCUGUUGAUGGACACUUAAGUUGCUGCCGUGUCUUGGCAGUUGUAAAUAAUGCUGCUGUGAACGUUGGGGUGCUUGAAUCUCUUCAAAUAAGUGUUCAUAUUUUUUUUCCAGAUAUAUACUCAGGAGUGGAACUGCUGGGUCAUAUGAUAGUUCUAUUUUUUUUUUUAAUCUCCGUACUGUUUUCCACAAGUGGCUGCACCAGUUUACGUUCCCACCAGCAGUGCAGGAGGGUCCCCUUCUCUCCACACCCUCUCCAGCAUUUGCUAUUUGUGUUCUUUUUGAUAAGGGCCCUUCUGACCUGUGUGAGGUGAUAUUUCAUUGUGGUUUAAAUUUUUUUUUGUUGUUAAAUUUUUUUGGUGAAAGUAUAGUUGAUGUACACUGCCACGCUAAUUUCUGCAGCACAGCAAAGUGACUCAGUCACACGUCUGUGUACAUUGUGGUUUUGAUUUGCGUGUCCCUGAUAAUUAGUGACGCUGAGCAUCUUUUCAUGUGCCCGUUGGCCACUCGUGACUUACUUUGAUCAUAACUAUGCAGAGAAUGGGGAAGGGUCCAAUGGUUGGAGAAACAGAUUUGGUGGCACAGGGGUCUCUGGAUGCUGGAAACCGUCUCAUCUUUGCCAUUGCCGUGACACUUUGGGCCGUACAGUCUCCAAUCUGUGGCUUGGGGCUCUCGGAGCCACUAAAGGGGUACGGUUGGUCCUGCAGGCAGAGCUUGGGUGGCCACCUGAAAAGUGGCUGAAACGAGUGCCCCGUAGGAGCCCUGCCAGCCUCUACAUGGUGCCAGCAGGGAGCACUGAUGAGAUUGAAGGAAAACAGAUGUUGUAAUGGAGUCUCGUGUGCUCCUGGGGUGAUGACCUUGGGGAUCUGGAAGCCAAAGAUGCAGCUAAGCCAAGGUCAGGUUAUUGUCCGAGCCUCGUGAAACCCACCCCAUGGGGUGCCUCCCUGGGGAGCCCAGGCUUCCCCCACGGCUGCUUCCUCCCACCCUAUGAAGUUCAUUCCAAAGGGAUGAGGGCAGGUGGAAAGCAGGUGAAACUACUAGCUGCCUACAGUGAGAAGCUUCACCUGUCCCCGAAGUCCAAAAAAGAUGCCCAGAAGCUUGCUAAUGCCACAGCCAAUGGAAGUCCUUGGUCAAAGGCCCUUCUGUGGAGGAAGGGGAAGCCAGCAGGCACCCUGCCCUGGGAGCAGAGGCGUCUUCUUCCUCCUGGACGGAGAGAGCAGCAUAGACGCGGUCUGCGUCCUAUGGAGUGUCCUUAGCUGCCCUCUCCAUGGAGACGCGGGGACCAGCUGAUGGUGGUUUGGAAAAAGGUGGUUUAUGUUCCAGCAACUGCUGUGGGGUGGGAGGUACGUUCAUUGGGCGAGAUUCCAUUUGGAACAGUGAAAAUCAGUGCUAUAGUGUUAUAAUUUGAACAUGUUUAUGUUUUCAAAUGACUUAAUUUUUAAGUGUUUAUGAUUUAUAAUUUUACAUCGAAAGGUUGUAAUUUUCAUUUCAUAUUACUUAUAGUAGUAGUCAUUGAACAGACAUGAUUAAUUUGUUGUUGUUGUUGGGGCUGCACCCGCAGUACAUGGAAGCUUCCAGGCUAGGGGUUGAAUCGGAGCUAUAGCUGCCGGCUUCUGCCACAGCCACAGCAUCGCAGGAUCCAAGCCACGUCUGCAACCUACGCCAUGGUUCUGGCAACACCGGAUCCCUAACCCACUGAGCAAGGUCAGGGAUUGAACCCGCAUCCUCACAGAUACUAGUCAGAUUUGUUUCCAUUGUGCCACGAAGGGAACUCUCUGAAAUGAUUAGUUUUUAUACAGUCAAAUCUUUUAUUUUAUUUUUUCUGUCUUUGGAGGGCUACACCCACGGUAUGUGGAAGUUGCCAGGCUGGGGGUCGAAUUGGACCUGCAGCUGCCAACCUGCACCACAGCAACUCCAGAUCCAAGCAGCGUCUGUGACCUACACCACAGCUCACGGCAACUCCAGAUUCUUAACCCAGUGAGCGAGGCCAGGGAUGGAACCCACAUCCUCGCAGAUACUCGUCGGGUUCGUUACCACUGAUCCGUGAUGGGAACUCCAACAGUCAAAUCUUUUAAUCAUUUCCUUUCCUCACUAUUAUGUAUUUUUAAUAGACUAUUUUUUUAAGAGUGGCUUUCAGUUGUGACAGGAGAAUUGAGUGGAAUUUCCUGUAUACUUCCUGCCCCCACGGAUGCAUGGCCUCCCUGCUAUCAAGUCCUGCACCAGAGUGGUGCAUUUGUUACAGUCAGUGAGCCUGCCUUGACCUAUUUUCAUCUGACGACCAGAGUCUGCACUAGGAGUCUCUCUUGGCGUACGUUCUGUGGACUUGGAUAGAUGCAUAAUGACGUGGACCCCCUAUUAUGGUCUCACAUAGAGUAGUUUCAAUGCUUUACAAAUCCUCUAUGCUCUGCAGAUUCAUCCCUUCUAACCACCCCCCGCCCCGGGAACCACUGAUCUGUCUCUGUGUCCACACUUCUGCCUUUGCCAUAAUGACAGAGAGUGGGAAGCAGAGCACAGGCUUUUCAGAUUGUCUUCUUUCACCUGGAAAUAUGCAUUUAAGGCUCCUCCAUGGCUUUUCAUGGCUGACAGCUCGUUUCUUGUUAUUUCGGAGUAACAGUCCAUCAUGCGGAGGGACCGCGGCUUAUUUACCCGUUCACCUAUGCAAGGACAUUUUGAUGGCUUUCAAGUUUUGGCAGUUAGGAAUAAGGCUGCUAUAAACGGGUACGGAGCGGGUUUUGUCUGGAUAUAAAUGUCCAGGUCAUUGGGGUUAAAUACCAAGGACAGUGCUUGCUGGCUUGUGUGUGCGGGGUAAGAGUGUGUUCAGUUUCGUAAGAAACGUCCAAACUGUCUUUCAGAAGGGCUGUGCCAUUUGGCAUGCCCACCAGCAGCGAAUGAGAGUUCCCGUGGCUCCCUGUCCUCACCGACGUUUGGCGCUGUCGCUGUUGGAUUGUGGCCGUCCUAAGGUGUGUGGUGGUAGCUCACUGAUGUUUUAAUGGGCCGUUCCCACAUCAUAUGACGUGGAGCAUCUGUUCUGGUGCAGUGUCUUUUCAGAUCUUUUGCGCAUUUAUUAAUCGAGGUGUUCAUUUCCUCAUGGUCAAGUCUUAAAAGGUGUUUGUCUGUUUUGUAGAAGUUAAUCAGUUGUGUCUCUCGCGAAUAUUUUCUCCCAGUGUGUGGCCUGACUUCUCAUUUUCUCGACGUGUCUUGUGCAGGGCACCAGUUUUUAAUUUCGGUGAAGUCCAGGUUAUCAAUAAUUUAUUUCACGGAUCACGUCUCUGUGUUGGAGCUUCGCCGUGCUCAAGAUCACCUGAAUGUUCUCCUCUGUUGUCUUCUAGGGCUUUUAUAGUUUUGCAUUUUAUAUUUGGGUGUA